UACGGAGGGUGCAAGCAUUAAUCGGAUUUAUUGGGCGUAAAGGGCGCGUAGGCGGAAAUAUUAGUCAGAUGUGAAAUCCUGGGGCUCAACCUCAGAACAGCAUUUGAAACUGUAUUUCUAGAGGGUAGGCGGAGAAAACGGAAUUCCACAAGUAGCGGUGAAAUGCGUAGAUAUGUGGAAGAACACCGGUGGCGAAGGCGGUUUUCUAGCUUAUACCUGACGCUGAGGCGCGAAAGCAAGGGGAUCAAACAGG
rnacentral:rRNA from 1 species